rnacentral:lncRNA from 10 species
GAACACAAAAUGGCGACACGUGGUUAGCAUUCGUCGCCAACGAGAAAUUGGGGUCGGCCCGAAAGCUCUAGAAUGCACCCCUCUUCCUCCCCGGGGCCUUCCACCUCCGCGAGUUUUAUGACUUAAAAAAGCCCACAGGCUGGUCUGAAGGUCGGAGGCCUAAUUUUAACGCGUUUUCCUCCCUUUAAUUUGAAACGGGAACGCGAAUGACUGUAAAAUAGGAAGACAAACAUAAAGAUGAAGUGCUUAAUUCAAGGUCACACAAUGUCGGGGAUGGACCUCCAGAUUUCCUUACUGGAAAACAAGCUCAGGGCUCCCACUGAUUGUACAUUAUGAGACGGAGUCUUGCUAUGUUGCCCAGGCUGGUCUUGAACUCCUCACCUCAAGCGAUCCUCCCGUCUUGGCCUCCCAAGUGUCAGGAUUACGGGCAUGUGCUAUCACACCCAACCUGAUACAUUGCCUUUAUAAAUUUUUUUUUCUUUAUUCUAAAAACCAGAAAAAACAAAACUGGAUACAUGUGCAGAACAUGCAGACCAAGUGUGUUGGGGACUUGAGAUGCGUACAUGAGUGUGAUGUUUCCUGCUGAAAGCACAGGUGAGACGUGGUCUUGUAACACAGUGGUUAAGAAUGUGACUUUGGAGCCAGCCUGCUAGGGGCUGAAUUCUGACUCAGCCAUUUACUAACUGUGUGACCUUAGGCUGGAGUGCAAUGGCAUGAUCUCGGCUCAUCACAACCUCUGCUUCCUGGGUUCAAGCGAUUCUCCUGCCUCAGCCUCCCGAGUACCUGGGACUACAGGCACUCGCCACCAU